rnacentral:rRNA from 1 species
AGCGAACGCUGGCGGCAUGCUUAACACAUGCAAGUCGCACGAAGGUUUCGGCCUUAGUGGCGGACGGGUGAGUAACGCGUAGGUAUCUAUCCAUGGGUGGGGGAUAACACUGGGAAACUGGUGCUAAUACCGCAUGACACCUGAGGGUCAAAGGCGUAAGUCGCCUGUGGAGGAGCCUGCGUUUGAUUAGCUAGUUGGUGAGAUAAAGGCUCACCAAGGCAAUGAUGCGUAGCCGACCUGAGAGGGUAAUCGGCCACAUUGGGACUGAGA